rnacentral:rRNA from 1 species
CAGCCGCCACGGUAAUACGAAGGGUGCAAGCGUUAAUCGGAAUUACUGGGCGUAAAGCGUGCGUAGGCGGUGAGUUAAGUCUGCUGUGAAAUCCCCGGGCUCAACCUGGGAAUGGCAGUGGAUACUGGCAAGCUAGAGUGUGUCAGAGGAUGGUGGAAUUCCCGGUGUAGCGGUGAAAUGCGUAGAGAUCGGGAGGAACAUCAGUGGCGAAGGCGGCCAUCUGGGACAACACUGACGCUGAGGCACGAAAGCGUGGGGAGCAAACAGGAUUAGAUACCCCCGUAGUCCCUGUCUCUUAUAC